AGCGAGCGCUGGCGGCAGGCCUAACACAUGCCAGUCGAACGAACCUUUCGGGGUUAGUGGCGGACGGGUGAGUAACACGUGGGAACGUGCCUUUAGGUUCGGAAUAACUCAGGGAAACUUGUGCUAAUACCGAAUGUGCCCUUCGGGGGAAAGAUUUAUCGCCUUUAGAGCGGCCCGCGUCUGAUUAGCUAGUUGGUUGAGGUAAUGGCUCACCAAGGCGACGAUCAGUAGCUGGUCUGAGAGGAUGAUCAGCCACAUUGGGACUGAGACACGGCCCAAACUCCUACGGGAGGCAGCAGUGGGGAAUCUUGCGCAAUGGGCGAAAGCCUGACGCAGCCAUGCCGCGUGAAUGAUGAAGGUCUUAGGAUUGUAAAAUUCUUUCACCGGGGACGAUAAUGACGGUACCCGGAGAAGAAGCCCCGGCUAACUUCGUG
rnacentral:rRNA from 1 species